AAUGAACGUUGGCGGCGUGGAUUAGGCAUGCAAGUCGAGCGAGAAGCUUCCUUCGGGAAGUGGACAGCGGCGAAAGGGAGAGUAAUACGUAGAAAUCUGCCCCGGAGUCUGGGAUAGCGUUGGGAAACUGGCGGUAAUACCGGAUAACGUCUUCGGACCAAAGAAUUUCGCUCUGGGAUGAGUCUACGACCUAUUAGCUAGUUGGAGGGGUAAUGGCCCACCAAGGCGACGAUGGGUAGCGGGUGUGAGAGCAUGAUCCGCCUCACUGGGACUGAGACACUGCCCAGACAUCUACGGAUGGCUGCAGUCGAGAAUCUUUGUCAAUGGACGAAAGUCUGAACAAGCGACGCCGCGUGCGGGAUGAAGGCCCUCGGGUUGUAAACCGCUGUCAGAGGGGAGGAAAUUUUGACUGAACCUCAGAGGAAGGACGGGCUAAGUUCGUGCCAGCCGCCGCGGUAA
rnacentral:rRNA from 1 species